CAAAUCCCCAGAGAGCUGCACUAGGUGCCUGUAGGGUCUUAAGUAAGAUAAUGAUAACCUCUCUUUCUCGUUUUACCAUCUCCAUUAUUCCAGAUGCAAUUAUAACUGGACAAGAGCAAUUAGUUUGAAUAAUAGAUGCCAAAGACCCAAAAUGAAGGGAGACAAUAACAGCCAUGAGAUGAUUCAGCUUAGAAGAGAUUUCCAUGUUGGAAACUGUACAAGCAUUUCAAGGAAGUUCUAACAGAAGUCUUAUCAAUGUGAGCCUACGAGUGUUUGGACUUCAUAAUAGUGAUGGAGAAACUUCAGAUGGCACAGGAGGGUAAAAUCAAGGAGGCUGCUGAGACAAUGGAAUUCUCAAAAUGAUAGGACUGACUGAAGCACUGAUGCUGGAGAAGAAAGGAGGAAUGAGAAACUAGAAAGGAAGAGGACAAUAAAAGAAAUAUAUCUAAACAGUUAUAAAAAGUUGUGUUAUUUUUCUCUGGACAAUAUUGAAUUAUUAUUUUUUUAUUUCUGGAACUUAGUGAAAAACUGAUACUACAAAAAAGUAGAGAUAUAUU